GCGGCCUGCCUCCUCUCGCGAGAGGAGACCGCAAGGGGCGGGGUGUGUGCGCGGACAAACGGAAGUGCAGGUGACGGUUGAGACUUCGCCGCCAAGCUGGGAACCGGGGAGAUGGCCGAGACUGACCCCAAGACCAUGCAGGACCUCACCUCGGUGGUGGAGACGCUCCUACAACAGAUGCAAGAUAAAUUUCAGACCAUGUCCGACCAGAUCAUCGGCAGAAUUGAUGACAUGAGCAGUCGCAUUGACGACCUGGAGAAAAACAUUGCAGACCUCAUGACACAGGCUGGCGUGGAAGAACUGGAAGGCGAAAGCAAGAUCCCAGCCACGCCAAAGAGUUGAAGGUUGCUGAUUCACCCUGAGACCCGGAACACCGUUUUUACAAGCGAAGAGAAGACCGAAUGGCUUUCUGAAGCAACUACUAUGCGUAGACAGGUUUUCUGUUAGAAAGUGUGCGUUCUUACCACAUACUACAUAGUUAGUUCAUAGAGUGAUUCUCCCCCCAGUUUCUUGAACAUGGUAACGUCACACCUUGGACCUUGGUCAGUCGUGCUGUUAAAUAUUAAACACUAAAACUUUGGCGGUUCCUGCAUAAAAUUGUCAAGUUUUUUAGUGUAUAUUUGUGAACUCAUCGUUUUCUAUCAUUCCUUUUGUAGUAGUUGCUGUUUGAUGAAAGUUGCUGUGUAAAUUUUUAUUAGACAUAUGGUAGGUCCUUCAGUUCCAAUCAGAUUUUGUGAAGGAAGACGUUUGGCAAGCUGACGACUCUCUGAUUCUCAGCACAGAGUGACUGUUGAGCCGACACCAAAUAGCACGUCGGUGAUACUUUUCAAGUGGUUCAGAACGUUUAAAAAUUGUGCGUUCAGAAAUCUCUGGCGCUGCCCUGUUGCCAAAAUUCAAAGUUGAACCGCAAUUUGAUGUCUUAAGGCUCUGAGGUCAGACGCCAGAGUAAGGAGGAAUGGCCACUCCCGCUUGUGUGUUAGAAUUCUCAAAUCUGGAAAAUGACAGAACUGCCUCAUGUAGUGAGGCGUUCAUUAGUUAGAGUUUUGCAUGAGAUUUGAACACUUGAGUAGGCCCCUGUGCUGUUCGUCUGCGAUAGUCCUCGUUGAAAAUCUGGCAGGAUGUCACAACCCAGCUCGCCGUCUUGUCUUGGAGCUACUGACCAGGAGAAGCAACAGAACCGGAGAGCAGAUCAUGCUAAGUUCGUGCCGUAGCCCGGCUAGAAAAUGGUAAAUGCCUUGUCAUAGGCUCAAGUUUUUAAGAUCUACUGUUUCUUGAAACGAUUUCUUACCUAAAUUCUUACAGAGUAAUGGUUUUAUUAUUGACCUUACGAGACAGGGGUAGUAACUCCUACCAGUCAAAAAGGCAGUGCCCAGAGCGCUAAGCCUAGAGGCCGGCCCUGACCGUGCACGAGAUCCCUGUGAUUGUCGCAGCAAACGUGACUCCGUCUACAAAAAAAAUGGGAAAAGUUGAGGGAUGGUCUAGUGCUUCUUAGAAACCCUGAAUGAACAGUGUGAGUUUUUUUUUAAAGUUUCCUAUAUCACCAGUCGUGUUUGUAUUGCAAAUAUAUAAUAUUAUUGAGAAAUAACUUGUCGUAUUUAUAAAUAACGUAGGUAACACAAAGGAGUAAGUUUCCUCUGAGCUGAGUGAAUGACCCACUGUUACUGCCCUGAAACUCCUCUGAUGGGCCGGUAGGCCACGCCGUGCACGGCUGAGCCGCGAGCCCCGGGGCUGCUGGCCUCCAGCUGACAGGAGCCCCCAUGUGCACGAAGCUCGCGAGCCUGGUCAGUGGCAAGCGGAAGUGAUGCGGCCGAUUGCUGUCGGGACUUGGGUGGGAGUUGUCUUCCUUACGUGAAAAAGAUUUCAGAGGCAGGCUCCCCUGACCAGGAAUACCCGCCAUGAAUAAAGGUGCCUGAAAUCCU